rnacentral:misc_RNA from 1 species
ACUAUAUAUAAAUGACGUCACAGAUGGUGGGAGUCGGCAAGGCGGUGGUGGUGGUGGUGUCGUUGGCUGUGGUGGUGGUGUCGUUGGCUGUGGUGGUGGCUGCUGCAGAUGACGACGAGAGGAAGAUGAGGUUAUUUGGGGUGGUCAGCAGCACCUCUGUCACCCUCUUCGCCUCCGUCACCGUCACCUCCCUCACUACCUGUCUCUCUGUCUCUGCUACUCCCUGUCUCGGCCGCAGGAAGAGGGAUUCCUUUAAACUUAUGAAGGAUGAUGAAGUAAACGACCUGCUGUCUUCCUACUUGGACAGCAGCCACAAGGAGAACCACGAGGCUGACGAUCCAUCUUCUACUUCGUCAGGUGAGGAUAGAACAGGGAAGGCCUUUACCAUAUGGACGUCCUUCUUCACCACCCUGACGAUAACCAGCACCGUCGCCCAGGGAGGAACCACUAUCACGGCGUCCGCUCUCUGUUCCGCCCCGGGGCUCACUGCUGGCUGCUUCUUAGGGUAGAUAGCUUGGCUUGGCUUGGCCCCCUCAGAUGACACCCAGGUUUUUGUAGACGUCUUCGAUAUCUUCCAGUUAAUUGUGUCUUUAUCACCAGUCAGUGACCAGAUGAAGGAAGUUCUAACAGACAGAAGAUCAGAUGAAGGAAGUUUCACCAGUCAGAGGACCAAAUGUAAGAAGUUCUACCAGUCAGAGGACCAGAUGAAGGAAGUUCUACCAGUCAGAGGACCAGAUGAAGGAAGUUCUACCAGUCAGAAGACCAGAUGAAGGAACUUCUACCAGUCAGAAGACCAGAUGAAGGAAGUUCUACCAGUCAGAAGACCAGAUGAAGGAAGUUCUACCAGUCAGAGGACCAGAUGAAGGAAGUUCUACCAGUCAGAAGACGAAGAUGACUGUCACCCAACAAAAAUUCAUUAACUGUUUGACUACUGAACUGACUGUAUUGUUCUUGUUGUUGUUGUUUUAUGCGUUAUGUAAAGCUCAGUAUCUCUCUCGUGUGUACAUAUAAUAUAAGGGAAUAAUAAAAUAAAUACCAUAA